rfam:Brassica napus, WGS project CCCW01000000 data, contig: 16908
AAGUGGUAACCAGAGAGAGAGACAGGGAACAAGCAGAGCAUGGAUUGAGUUUUUACCAAAACAUCAAAUGACUAUGUUUGGUCUCUUCCCAUGCACUGCCUCUUCCCUGGCUCCCUUUUUCUUUGUCUCC